rnacentral:rRNA from 1 species
UACCCGCAGCACAAGUGGUGGUCAUUAUUAUUGGGCCUAAAGCGUCCGUAGCUGGCCUGUUAGAUGCCUGGGGUAAAUCGAUGCGCUCAACGUAUCGAACUCCGGGUAGACCGGCAGGCUUGGGACCGGGAGAGGCGUGAGCUACUCGAGGGGUAGGGGUAAAAUCCUGUAAUCCUUCGGGGAGGACCAGUGGCGAAGGCGUCACGCUAGAACGGCUCCGACAGUGAGGGACGAAGCCCUGGGGCGCAAGCCGG